AAAACCAAGAAAAUGUCCACUAAUUUCGGUGUGGACAAAGGAAAGGAUUCAAGUGAGAUAUAAGUUUGAAAAAGAUCAUGGAUUUGGAUAUGGAAAACUCUUGGAAAGAAUGGAAUCAAUUGUGAAGGCACCAAAAGGAAAAAAGAAACAACCAAAACAAAAGGAAAAAGAGAAGAGAAUGGAAAAAUCAUCAAUAGGUUCUAGUUCUACAACUUCUCGAAAUGACAUGAUGGGCUUUUUGAGCAAAUUUGGAGAUUU